GUGUCCACCCGAUGAAAAAUAAAAGUCAAACGAGGGAUUUAAUAGAAGUUAACGCUAGUACAAUUUCAUCAUUAACAAAGUCCUGGAGCGACACAACACCAUAACAAUUGUAAUCAGUAGCACACAGAUCCCGUUGGACCUUUGGACGUCAGGCCCAAACGCACAACCCGCAACAACAACAACCCGAUGUUAAAAGAAAAUCCAAGGGAUAAAAUUGCCGCCGUCCAGCAGCCGCAACUUGGCAAAGAGAACGGCACUCGGGAAGGUAACGGCGUUUAACUCUUGGAGAAACAAUUCCACGUGAAAUUUAUAGCGUUUCUUCUUCAGCAUAAACGUCAUGUGGUGGGCAUGAAAACUACAGUUAUCCCACAAAAUAAUCCAGUAAUAUGUGUGCAGACAAUUCGGAUAGAAUGC